CUGACUACGAGAUCCAAGCUUCUGACUGAAACACAGCAACUCAAACAACAAAACUCAGGAGCUCCGCAAUCUCCUGCCCAAAUAUCAAAACUCAAAGUACUUCUCCAAGAAGUCCAGCAUGUCUGACGGCUUUCUUUUCCCUGCACUGAACCUCAUCACUGCUGGGCUGGUGAUUGAUACUCCUGAAGAAAUACUUGCAGGUAACCACAGCAGGUGCUGGAGCAAGCAGCGGGCAAGGUCCUGUAUGUAUCUUCCUCAGAUGGCUGAGUGUGUGUGCAUCACUUACCUGGGGAAGAGAUGGCACAGGAUACUCUGUGGAAAGAAGGCAAGUCAGCAGAGGCAGUGCAGUGGUCUGAGCAAUGUUCUGCUGGGAAACCUUGAGUCCUGGUAUUCAUGUAGAUGUUACUUUGACACAUACCACCUAAACAUUGGUGCAGACCAAGUACACAAUGGCAUUGCUAAUGGCAACGGUAUUCCCUAAUGGCAGUGGCCGCUUUCAGAUGGAUAACGUGCACUGCUACACUGCAAAAAUUGCAGGAAUGGUAUGAAAAACAUAACAAAGAGUAUAAGAUGUUGAUUUGGCCUCCAAAUUUCCCAGAUCUCAAUCCAAUCUAGCACCUGAAGAUGUGCUGGACAAACAAGUCCGAACCAUGGAGGCUCCACCACACAACUUACAGGAUUUAAAUUAUCUGCUGCUAAUGUCUUGGUGCCAGAUACCACAGCUCACCUUCAGAGGUCUUGUGGAGUUCAUGCCUCGAAGGGUCAGAGCUAUUUUGGC
ensembl:lncRNA